UCCUCUGAAUCUUCUUUCACUUUCUUCUUCUGCUUUUCCCCCUCCUCUCUGGCCUCCCCUGCCCCACACCCACCUCCUUCCCAUAUGCUCAGGUCACUGGCGAAGAGAUCCAAGAGCAAGGCCUAGGGACAACUGUUCCAACCACAUGAAACUUCAGGAGAUGCCGCCCAGAGAGAGCAAAUACACACUUAGCCGUCAUGAGCCCCUUAGCAUCCCACCAAAGCGUCUUCCCCUCCCUUCGACCCUUUCUCCGGGCAUACAAGUCAACACAAGCAAAGAGUGUUAAGGAUGCCUGCGUAGAAGGGAACCUUGAAAUGCCCGCGCGCCGCUGCUCUCCAGAGCCGGAGGACCUGCCUUACCUCCUCCUCCACCCCCCUCAUUCCCAGGCCCGGCUCCUCCUCCUCCUUCUCCCUCUGCGCGCGCGCGCUCUCUCUCUCUCUCGCUCCGACGCGCGCGCGCGCGCCUGGGAGCCGAACGCUACAUUCCUGCGGCUGGGCGCGCGCGGCCGCCUCCUUCCUUCCCGUCCUUCCCACCCCCGGUCCGAGGGCCGGAGCGCGCUCCCGCGGUGAACUCUCCGGGAACCCCCCUCGGGGCGGGUGGCCGGGCGCGCUCACCUCCUCCUGAC